rnacentral:tRNA from 1 species
GUUGUGGCUCAGUGGUAGAGUGCUUGCCGGGCAUGUGUGAGGCCCUGAGUUCAAUCCUCAGUACUACA